rnacentral:sRNA from 1 species
AUCCUUAUAUUAAACCGCAUUAUUGCACUAAUCCCUUUAAAAAAAAUCAACUCCCGACCCGGCGAACUUUUUCUAACCAUUGAUAAUUUAAAAUACGCCGCACCGCAGAAAAUUAACCUGGUGGCCUUUAUCCUGGAAAAAAACCUAAAAUAACGUUUAGGUCGUUAUAAUAAUUUUUUAACGGUACCCGAAAUUACCCAAAAUGGUUAAGAUUUUUUAAAACAGCUUUUAUCCGCAAAAUUUAAAAGCCCAAGAUUUUCGGCCAUAAAAGCUAAAAUAAAACCCUUAAUUGUCUGAAAAAGAAUUACUGGUGGCUCGAACGAAAUCGAAACGUUAAACGCUAUAUUAAAAAUUGUCGCGAAUAUUAAUGCAAUAAAAUAUAAUAUAACAAAACGCCUGGGCUAUUACACCCAUUGGAAAUUCCUAAACAAUAUUAGCAAUAUUUAAUAAUAUAUAGCAAAAUUAUACCCAAGGAUAAAAAAUAUUAUAAUUAUAUUUGGGUUUUUAUCUGCCGAUUAACCAAAUUUUUGGCUAUUUUACCGGGAAAAAAGACGGACAUCGCGGAGAUUUUGGUUAUACGGUAUUAUUAAAUUAUAUACCGUUGAAAAAACGUCCCAGAUAUAUAAUUCUCCGACAGCGCCGGACCGUUUAUAUCCGAGUUCCUAAAUACUUUAAGCGAAUUAACAGGAAUAACGUGGUUGUACAAUACCCUGCGCAGGACAGUACCCUGCGCACUCUUUUCGCACCAUACCACCUUUAAUUUUAAUAUAUAGUUUUUCCACAACGCAAAAUACCACUAAUUAUAAAUAAAUUACGGAUUAUUUUAGCUAUUAAAACUAUUCGAUUAAAUACAGAAUUAAACCACGGAACCGCUGCAAAAGUUUACAAUAUACCCGAAUUAAUACUACGCUAUAAAAUAAAAGGCGUAAUUUUUAUAACCGACCGUCGAUUAAAUGUUAAAAAUUUGACGGAAAACGAAAAAAGAUAAUUAUCCAAUAUAUAUUAGAUUUAAAUUUACGAGGGUUUCCGUUUUAAAUUAUUAACGUGGCCGCAAUAACCGACUAUAUUUUCGCUGCGCGGAACGCGCGACAGGUCGGAAUUCGUUGGGCGAGUCGUUUCGUCCAACGCCGUAUAAAAUUAAAAACGCGUUUUUUUCGCGUUUAUAAUUUCCAAAGGGCUUUACGCGAAAAUCCUAACGCGCUGAACGCGUAAUUUUAAUUUAUAACCAAUAUAAAAGCCAGAUAUAAUAUUUAAAAUUAUAAUAUUUACAAUUUCGACGAAACCGGUUUUAUAAUACGUUAUAUUUGCGGCGCAAUAGUUGUAACCAGGUUUAAAUAACGCGGAAAAAAUAAAAAAAUACAGCCUGGUAAUUAAAAAUAGGCGAUUGCAAUUUGUUACAUUAAUAGCGACGGUAAUAAUAUAGCCCCAUUUUUUAUUGUUAAAAACGUUUACCAUUUCGCGAAAUGGUAUAUAAACGGCGGUUUUCCGCCAUUUUGGCGUAUAAAACCCAUUUUUAAUAAAUGGAUAAAUAAUAAAAUAGGCCUAAAAUGGGUUUAACAAUUUAAUAAUUAUAUUAAAUCGCGGAUAAAAGGCGUAUAUCAAAUGCUGGUAUUCGAUAAAUAUAACAAUUACCAAUCGCCGGAAUUCGAAAACUAUUGUAAAAAUUAUAACAUUAUUCCGGUUUAUUUGCCUAUUUAUUUAUUGUAUUUUAUUUAAUUAUUUAAUAUCGGAAUGUUUGAUAUUUUAAAGCAGGCGUACGGUUAAAAAAUUAAUAAUUUUAUCCGGGUUUAUAUUACUAAUAUUAACAAAAUUAAAUUUCUUUUGGUUUUUAUUACAGUUUAUAAAAAGUUUAUAACAAAAGAAAAAUAUAACUGGGGAUUUUCGAAAAGGUGGAUUUAUUUUAUAUAACCCGGAAACGGUUAUAUCCAAAUUGGAUGUUAAAUUAUAAACGCCGUUACCUAAAAAACCUAUUUUUUCUAAUAUUAGCAUUUGGGUUUUUUAAACGCUGUAUAACCCGAUAAAAGGUGUUUAUAAAUUAAUUUCUGUUAAAAACCGGAUUAACGGUUAUUAAAAGAAAUUUCCAACGCCUAUUUUCAAUAUUGUAAAACAGUUAAUUAGAUAUAUGAAAAGAAUGGCGCACCAAAUUUAUUUUUAUAUAUGCAAAACUGCGUAAUUUUCAAAAGGUUAACGAAACGUUUAAUAACCGGCGCAGGGUUAAAAAAAUAUAUAUCCGCGUAAAAGGAUUAUUUACUAUAUAAAACGUUCAAAUCUUGUUGCAAUUGAAAAAUAAAAAUGGUCCGGGGUACGAAAACAAAAAUAAAAAUGGGGAAAGAAAUAGUACGUAACCGGCGAUUAAACGGCGCUGUGGUAAUUGCGGAAAAAUGAGAUAUAAUGCACGUAUUUGUUCAAAAAUAAAAAAAUAUCCGAUAUAUAUAAUUCUAAUUGUAUUAAGGUAAAUUAAGCGAUGUUGGCGUUAUAAUUGAAAUUGGGAGUUGGGCCAACCGGAAAAGUGCACAGGAUAAUAUCCUGCGCAGGGUACUGUACAACCACGUUAAAAUACAAAUAUAAAAACGCCCGCCACCUUUAAAUUACGGCAGCGUCAAAAUUACCAACGUUAAAUUGGAUUAGAAAAUGCGCUUUUAUAUAAAUAAAUACCAAACAAAUUGGCGACGGUAUAUUCUUAUUUUUAAUUUCGGCGACAAUUUGUCCGUUUACGCCUUUAGCGGUAUAAUACCCAUCGAAACAAAAAUAGGAAUUUGUUUAAAGAACCUGUUUUUUUUUACUUUUACCCCGAAAAACCUGGAAACCAGUCAGCAAUAAAAAAGGCUGGAAAUAAUCCGCCAAACCCGGUAAAUUUAAAUAUUAGCCCGUGUUACAAUAGCGAUCCCAAAAAGAUAAAGCUGCAAUAUAAGCGCGAUUUUAUUCGAAAAUCUAAAACUAAAUGUGAAAAAAACAAAGGUAUGCAAUAUUAAUCGCGUAUACGCCUUUAAACAAACAAAUACUAAAUUAACCCUGGCGUUUUAUUAUAUAAAAUAAAGCUAAUUACGGUUAACAAU